rnacentral:piRNA from 1 species
UAGUGGAUCUGGACCAGUGGAACAUUGGU